rnacentral:scRNA from 1 species
UUCCGCGGGGGAGGUGCGGGGAGCCAGGGGUA